AUUGAACGCUGGCGGCAGGCCUAACACAUGCAAGUCGAGCGGAUGAACGCAGCUUGCUCCUGGAUUCAGCGGCGGACGGGUGAGUAAUGCCUAGGAAUCUGCCUGGCAGUGGGGGAUAACGUCCGGAAACGGGCGCUAAUACCGCAUACGUCCUGAGGGUGAAAGUGGGGGAUCUUCGGACCUCACGCUAUCAGAUGAGCCUAGGUCGGAUUAGCUAGUUGGUGGGGUAAAGGCCUACCAAGGCGACGAUCCGUAACUGGUCUGAGAGGAUGAUCAGUCACAUUAGAACUGAGACACGGUCCAGACUCCUACGGGAGGCAGCAGUGGGGAAUGUUGGACAACGGGCGAAAGCCUGAUCCAGCCAUGCCGCGUGUGUGAAGAAGGUCUUCGGAUUGUAAAGCACUUUAAGGUGGGAGGAAGGGCAGUAAGUUAAUACCUUGCUGUUUUGACGUUACCAACAGAAGAAGCACCGGCUAACUACGUG
rnacentral:rRNA from 1 species